UUGGUGGAGGAGGAGCCAGGUGAAAAAAAUCCAGUGUGAACACUCACAGAAGUUGAUGAGACAGCUCCUCCCAGCCUUUCCCCACAUCUCCAUGCCACCACCAAACCUCUGGUAUCCUUCAGGGAACCUCCCACAUCAGCAUGGAAGAACAUAAAAACUGCCCUCCUGGGUCAGACCAGUGGUCCAGGUAGCCCAGUACUGUCUGACAGUGGCAGUAGGAGAGGCUGUUUAGGGAGAACACACAAGCCUUGCCACUCUGUAUGGUCCCAUCCCCUCAUACUCCCCCAUCACCCACAAUCAUUGAGGUUGUUAGAGGGGACAUCCCUGCCUAGUCUCUUUAGUAUCACUUUAUAGGCUUGUUGUCCAGGAAUUGGCCUAGUCCCUUUUAACCCAGCUGAUCAUUCCACAACCUCCUGUACUUAUUGAGCCCUAACCAUGUGAGACUUCCCUUAGCAGCUGUGCAGGGGGGGGCAUGGCGGCUUACAGAGUCUCUGCAGGGAGAAUGAUCAUCCACUGGUCCCCUCUCUUCCUUGUCUGUCAUCCAGGCUUCACAGUGCCCCUUGUAGAGGGUGCGGGGAGAGGCAGCUGUACAAAUCUCAUGCUCUUACAAUUGAUUAUGACAUAAAUCUAGACAUGUCCAUCUUUAAACAGGAACAGGCAAAUCUCUUUAAUACCAGCUCUGCCUGGCUGAGCUCUUGCAUGGAUCUGGCACAUUCCUGUUCAGGCUCAAACACUUGAACUGAUGCUCUAAUUCACUGAAGGAAGGGGACAGGAGAUGGAACCAGAGAGCUGCAGACUGCUGAGGUCGAAGAGCCUUUAGUACCUUCAGCAGGGGUCAAAUUUUGCUGAGCAAGAGCAGGUGAGCCAUUUUCUUCUGCAGCUGGGAAAUUCUGAUGGGCCUUGAUGUAACAACAGCAAGAUGCCGGGGGGGUCACACCAGUACCAGCAUGUGGGCACACAGAAGGAUAGAGAUUGGCUUUUCAGAAACUGUCACCUCCUGCCUCCCCCAGGAGGAGCUGGCCUCUCCAAGCUCUUGGGAAGAGACACAGAAAGGCAUUUGUCUUGUGCUGGACAUGUCUGAAUAUUCACUUGCUCGGUAAGAUGAACUGUAGUUGAGCUCCGCAGUCUCUGGAAGAGAGGGCUGGUGUCAGGCAAGAUGGCUGUAAGAAGGUACACAGAGCUAGACGAACUAUCCUAAAGUGCAUUGCUGAAGCCAAACGCUGCCUCUUGAUGGGCCCCAGAACACAGUGCAAAGGUCCAAACCCUACUGUGGAAAGGUCAAGAGAAGGGAUGGGCUUCAGUCAUGGAUUUUAAGACUGGAAGGACCUUUCUGGCCCAGGCUCAGAGACUCCUAUGCCUGCAUGGGAGAGAGGUUGGCACAGUGCCCUUGUGUUGGUAGGCCUUGUGGAAAAGCUGACCUAAAAGGCCAAGAAGAAAUGUAUUUUCCCCAUUGAUGUAUAACAUGGCUCCUGGGCCAUUGUUUUUUCUUGCAGUUCCCUGAAGUACUGGAGAUACUUGUUGCUUUCUCCCAUUGGGUGUUCCCAUCCCAAGAUCACCUGGGAGAUUUAGUUAAUGAAUCCCCACUAUCACAGGACCUUAGGACAUUGUCCAUGUCCCAGAUUUUUCUGCCUCACUCACUGCCAUGUUACAAUCUUCUGCUGCAGGCCUCAAGCUUGUCACUGGGUGUUGGGAAGGGCUUUGCGGGCAUUUCUAUGAAAUGGAAAUUCAUAUUUAGAGACAUGCCACAAAUGGUUGAAUGCAUCAUUAAACCCCACCAUGGCUGAACUGCAGGGUGAGGAGUCAUUGGCCUGGAGGAAGAACCCACUGUAGCGCAGAGAACCCUCACAGAUCCUCCUGAUAGCAGGUCACAGGUGACAUUACCCUAUGGACUGAGAGGGCUGUGUGUAUCGCAUUGUGACUUCAUGUUCCCUAUCCUGGUCUGGGAGUGUGGUGGACAGAUGAGUGAACUUUUGCCUUAAACAUUUCUUGGUACGUAAGGUGCAAGCAAACCAUAACCCCGAACAAGCCAUCUGUUCCCGGCGGAAACAGGACUGAGCUGCUGCGACCCCUGAAACGGUCUCCCUGCGACCACUCAGGACACACCGAGCCUGCGCCGAACCAGGGCACGAUCGGACAGAGACUUUGGGACCUGGACUGCAAAUUACUGCCACUUAGCACAACUUUUAUAAAACUUGCUUAGCAUGAGUAGCUAAAUUUGCUGAAGCCUUAGGCCGCACUCCCUAGUUCAGUGAGAAAGGGCCCCAGAGCUGGUGCAGACUGGAAAGAUAAGGGAGUUACAAGCAGUUUGCAUUCCUGUGUGUCACACUCCGGGAGGGAGGAUGUCAAGGCUUUGAAGUGAGGCCUGCUUGGGCGCCAGGACCCUGGGAAACAAAGCCUCCCCUCACUGCUGAAACAGUGUUAAUUAGGGGGGGUCUGGAUUAUAUCCUCUUCUUCAGGACCUUGGAAGAUAACACCUAAUGUCACUGCUGGGGCAGUGCUAAUUGCUGGAACAACACCUGUUGGUCAGGGCCCUGAGAAAGAAGGGCAGAACCCGAGGAAUCAAAACACAUCCGUCAGCAGAAACCGCAACAGUAAAGAUAAGGGAGAAAAGCAGCCUGCCUGGGAACAACGAUGAGACCCAAUAGGGAGCAGGAGACCCCAGACCCAAAAAUUACUAUUGGUCUGAACUACCGUGUGAGGGGCGGGAAACUUAAUUUGAAAAAGCUAUAAUUGCCCAGGGAUUUCUUUGUUCGGGGUCCCUCUUCGGAGGCACCCAACUCGAGCUGUAACUACUGCACGCGUGUCAUUACAAUUUAUUUAUUUAAUUUGCCUUGAUUUGGCUCUGAACUUUUCAGUGGGAACCUAGGGUCGGACCCUGCUCGAGUUGUAAUUACUGCACGCGCAUCGCUAAAAUUUACACCCAGGGUGAAGAGGACCAACGGGACGCCGCUGGAUCCACGGGUGGUAUUUGCUUCAUCUGGGCAGAUUGGACUCAAUCAGGAAGUCACAAGACGUAAGUGUUUGGUCAGAGCAUAGAGUCCUCCAGGUAAGACAGACCUUUUACUUUCACCACAGCCAUUCACAAGGAGGUAGCAGUAUCUCAAUUUGACAGCUGGGGAAACUGAGGCAUGGGGCAGUGACUUGCUGGGUCAACCUGGUGGUGUUUAGUCUUUCAGACUUGGAGGGGAGGAGAGGUUGGGGGGGGGGGUACCUGUUGUAUCCCUUGUGCAAAGAAUGAGCAAGGAGCUGGGCAAUCCAUCUAGUCAUGGGCCUGAUAGAUGGAGCAGCCAUGCCUUAGAACCUCUGCCCAAAGGUUUAUAGCCAGGUGAUGAAAAAAUGAGGUAGCUCAGCAGAUGAGGGCAAAGUAUUUACAGGUUUGAGUCAUAUAGGUAAGGAUGAUAACUCAGCCCUGCUCAGAAGGGAGUAAAUGGAAGACGCUAAGAGUUAGAUGGCCUUGGGUCACAAAAUGCAGUGGCAAAUGUAUUGGUGCCCAUUUCUGUCAGGCUUGACCUUGCCCUUCCUGAAACAGCCAGUAUUUCCCCACUACCUGCUAGGCUGCAGCACUGUCUGCCCAUUAUUUUAAAGGAGAACAUCAGCGAAAAGGUCCUUUCUCCCUCCACCUUGUUUAUUUGAGAGUGUUUUAAAACCAAAUGAGUCACUUUGUAAAAAUCACUUUGAAAAGCCACAGGCUGAAGCCAGAUAUUAAAAACAAUAACCAAUUGCCUGAUUAUUCCUCUCAGACUGCUAACAACUGACAUCGUUUCUCGAUGGGUUUCAUUUGCUUAAGCCCACAGAAAACUGUGCAUGGUUCAAUGAAAACUGAAUAUCACUCUCCCAAGAGCUCAUGAAAACUUUCACAAAGGUUGGUAACUUUUCCCUCUGAGAAGCUUUUCAGCAGCAGGGACUGAGCCUGGGCUGAAACUUGUUUCCAGCAGGGAAUGAAUAGCACACCGACCUCUUCAACAAAGGUGGUGAAAGUUCAGGUCUUCUCUUUGGCAAACAAAGACCCUAUAACCACCCCGAUAUCUGCUGGAGGGACAACACAGCAGGGCACAAGCAAUCCAGGAGGUGUCUGGAGUGCAUUGAGGACAACUUCCUAACACAGGUGAUCAAGGAGCUGACAAGGGGAGAUGCUCUGCUGGACCUGAUACUUCCAAACAAGGAAGGACUGGCCAGGGAUGUGAAAGUUGGGGGCAGCCUUGGCUGCAGUGACCAUGAGAUAGUGGAGUUGAGGAUCCUGCAAGGAGGGAGCAGGGCAAAAAGCAGAAUCACAACCCUGGACUUCAGGAGAGCAGACUUUUACCUCUUCAGGGACCUGCUUGGAAGAAUCCCAAGGGAGACAGCCCUGGAGAGAAGAGAGGUCCAGGAGAGCUGGUUGAUAGUCAAGGACCACCUCCUUCAAGCUCAAGAAUGGUCCAUCCUGGUGAGCAGGAAAUCAAGGAAAGGUGCCAGGAGGCCUGCACAGGUGAACAAGGAGCUCCUGAUUAAGCUCAAACAUAAAAAGGAAGCGUACAAGAGCUGGAAGCAAGGACAAGGGACCCAGGAGGAAUACAGAGACAUUGCCCGAGUGUGCAGGAAUGGAGUUAGGAAAGUCAAAGCCCAUCUGGAGCUGGCUGAUGUCAUUGCGAGGCCACUCUCAAUUACCUUUGAAAGGUCAUGGUGAUCAGGAGAGGUUCCUGAAGACUGGAAGAGAGCAAACAUCACUCCUAUCUUCAAGAAGGGAAAGAAGGCAGAUCCAGGGAACUACAGGCCAGUCAGCCUCACUUUGAUCCCUGGGAAGGUGAUGGAGCAAAUAAUCCUGGAAACCAUUUCCAAGUACAAUAAGGACAAGAAGGUGAUCAGGAGUAGUCAGCAUGGAUUUACGAAGGGGAAAUCAUGCCUGACCAAUCUGACAGCCUUCUACAAUGAGAUGACUGGCUCAGUGGAUGAGGGGAGAGCAGUGAAUGUUGUUUAGCUCAACUUUAGCAAGGUUUUCUGUUAGGAAUUGCCAAAUCCAGUAGGCUGAUAGAGGUGAGGCUGCUGCAGCUCCUGUCCCCAGGUCCAGCCAGUAGUGAGGCUGAGCAUGUAUUCCCAAUAGGCACACAUGCACACACUACAUAUAUACAUAUAUACGUGGCCAGCCACAUAGAUCAACACAGACAGAAAACACAAGCAAGCACAAACGGCACCAACAGCCUCAUCUUUUCCCCUUCUUUAGCUGAUCAGGAUGAAAGCCUUUUAGUGGAAAAUAUAUGCAUAUAUAUAUAUACACAUACAUAUACAAUAUGGAUCCCUCCAAUGGCUGGUCUUAGACACUCAGUCUAUCUAGUAGAUAGAUCCAGCCCCUGGAUCCCCUGGUCUCCCAAUUGCCUCAUGCACAGACACAUACACACACCAGGUCUCUCCACAAGCUGGUUCAGAACUAUGGCCUUACCAGUAGCCGACAUGUUCUCUCUGGUAGCCAACUCUCAGACUCUCUGGUCUCUCCAGUAUCUGGCCCAGACUUACAGCUGUUCCAAUACUUGGCUCCAAAGCCUCUUAUCCUACUUGACAGCUAGUCUGGCUUGAUGUUUGCUAGCAAUUGCACACUGACAUACACAUACAACAUGCAUGCAGUCCAUGUCUCUCCAGUUGCUGGCACCCCAGACACAUGGGCCUCUGUGACCUGUGGCCCUCACUCCAGUGGCUGGCACUUAGCCCUCCAUACACGCACGCACACACAGAAUAGAGAGCCCCUCACCCAGGAAAAUAGUUAGAAAUGGAGUCUAAUGAGAAGACAGGCCAGACUGCGCUCAUCAGGCACGAGGCAUGGCCAGACAAGCAUACUGACCAGCAGCCUCUUUACAUGCAACUGGCUCCUUUUAUCCCUUUAUCCUUGUUUCCUCAUGCUUGUUCCUCCCCAAUCCACCUUGAUCUCUCCCUUUCCCUGCCUUUGGUCUUGCCCCUAAACAUCCCAUAAUGUUUUUUACGUUUCCACAAUCCACUUAGAACACCCCAUAAUUCCUAUUCGUUCCACAAAUCCUCUUCCCCUGUAUCCCAUAAUAAGUCACAUAUGCCUUUAGGCAAUCGUCCCCUUUUGUUUGAAAAGUAUCCCAGUGGGAGUUUCCCUGUUUCUUACCAAGGAUGGUGCACUAAUUGUUCCCCUUGGGUGGACUUAGGGAAUAGCAGAUUCCAUGUGCUCUGGUUUCAAGGACUAGCUUACUAGGUUCCUCCAUUUAUCAUUGUUCUUCUAAUCUUCACUGGGUCUCUGUGUUUAGACUAUUUUAUAAACAUUAAGCCAACAAUUAUUGUUACAUUUUUCAAAUCUGCACUUAUUUCAAAGCAUACAUGAAGGGAAAGAGUAGGAAAGAAAGUUGAAGUAAAUAACAGACAUUUUCACAGCCUUAUUGCAGUUUGUAAAAUGCAUCAACUACAAGUAAGCAACUCACUGCUCCAACAGUUGAGAGAUUAACAUACAGCUCUAGACAGACAGGUGGGAGGUGGCACAAGGUCAGGACUACCAGAUUACUGAUUUCUCAGUUCCAACAUUUCUGCAUAAUCAGAGUUUGUCAUUUAUCCUAUUCAACAGGCAUAUGAAACAUGUACCAAUCAUCUCUCAAGUAGGUAGGUGCUGAGCUGGCAGGACUGAGAUAGAGUAGCUUCUGCAGUGCUUCCAGCCAUCAGCAACUGAAAUAUAGCAUGGGACUUCUCCUCACAAGGGGAAGCAAACAGUAGCCAGAAGGCUACAUGGCAGGACAAUGCACUCUAAGAAUGCCCUUUACACCAGGGGGGACCAAAUUUCUGUUCUGCUACAUAUUGCAUCUCUCACUUGGAGAAGUUAUUUAUGACUUGGUGGAAAGGGAGCUGGACAUGCACUCUUAGUCUGCUACCUCAGUGGGAUUAUUUACCUCAGGUGAAAUGGGCAAGGGAAGAUUUUUCCUUCAAAAGCCUUUUGAAGGUCUAUGAUCACCCAUAUGUAUAAAUGCCAGCCCUCACAUUAAAAUGACUUAAUCCCAACUACUUAAACAUUGGGGUGCCACUGCACCAAACAACUACCUGCCUGCAUCUAUGAAGGAAAGUUGCAAAUGAAGGCAACAACACUUAGAGAUUUAUUAUUGUAUUAAAAAGGAUAAAAACAUAUAUUAAACCACUAUUUUAAUUACAUUCCCUAUUCAUAAAUAACUGUUUGCUCUCACAGAAUUAUUUAAGAUCAUGUGUCUAAGAAGACAUAUAUAUAUAUUUGUUUGUUUGUUUUUUGACUACCCCAAGAAACCAUGUAUGAAAAAUGCAGAGUUGGGUGACCACACAGAGCCACAGGGACUUACAUGCUAAGCAGCUCCUUCCCAGGUCCACCAGGAAAAUGCACCAGCCUCAGCAUUUUGUUGGGUUACAGUGUUCCUCAGAGGUGUUUCUCAGGGUAGCAAGAGAACAAAAUGUCACCAGUCCUUUACUGAUGAGAAGUUGAUUUUGUUUAAGCCUCAGAGGCAGAUCUUUGGAUUUGAAAAUAUUUUUCAUUUACAGAGAAGCUCUGGGAAGGUAUCUGUUCUCCUUGCAUUUAAACAGUAUUUCUUUCUUUAAAAUAGAAGCACAGUUCUACGGGCAUACAAUAGCAUGAGUACCAUACACAGAAGUCUUGUACGUGACUUGGCAGAGAACCCACGCAUCUGAAACAAGAGGCAGCCACUCUCCAUCACAGGUUCAAGAGCUGAAUUCUGGGAAGGAAUUUGGUGCAUCUCUCCUCUGCCACCCACAGGAAAAAGGGUGGAGACUGCAGCAUUAUAGGGUCUGCACAGCCACUGGAUAGAGAAGUGACAAGUGUUCUGCUCCUCUGAUGGGCAGCUUUUUUGUGGUGUAGUAGUGGAUGACUUUGGGAACGCUGUCAAAGGGAGGGCUGUUCUGACCCAGGAUGUAUUUCUCUUUGGAUUUCAUCAGUUUCAUGUGCAUAAAGCCUUGGCUGCUCCUGCAAGGAAAGCAAAAAGUUAGUACACGCAAGCAGGAGGGCAGCAUCAGGACAGGCUUUUCUCUAUGCUGCAGGGAAACAUAGGAUAACAAUGCAAGAGGUGCUUUUAUAUGGCUUAGUCACAGUUCAAGAGCAUGGCUGCAUUCCCCUCUGCCAACAACCUGAUGGAAAGGGAAGCUACAGCUAGAUUUUGUUUUCACCACCUACGCUCUGUGACAUUUCAGCCUUUUCCUGCAGGGCAAGUCCUAGGCUGCCUUGUACUGGAGCCAAGCCAGUGGCUAGUCAGAGGACACCCCACCCCCUCCACCCCCUAUUUUCCCCUUCCACUUUGGCCAGCCCCCUACCUCAGUGCUAGCUGGGGACAUGGGCUGGGGCCUUUAAGAGUCCCAACCAAGUCUCUCUUCUCAGCAACUUAUACAGGCUGAAAGGCUCACUGGGGUGAGGCAAGAUCUUCACCAUUGCAAGAGACUCCUCAGGGCAAGCAAUACCCAACCCAGCCCUGGCAGCAACUGCCCAGAAUGGUCCAAUGUUUCUAGAGACCCAGUGCCUAUAGUCAGGAGAACUUCCCUGAGCUUCAGAUGAGCCCAGUCCUAAGAGCAACAGCACAGCAACUUUCACAGAGCAGAGAAAUGCUCCUCUCUUGCUGCAGCUUUUAAAAUAGCAAGGAAGAAAGAGGCACAGAGCACAAGCAAAAUGCUAUGGUUAUGAAUUCAUGCCAGAACAGUUGUUGCCUUUUCAGUAACCAGCUGCCCUGAGAUAUCUGGUUGGACAAUAUACGGGUCAUUGACCUUGCAAUAGGUAACUUUGGGAGGUUCCCAUUAAGAGAAGGAAGCAUCUCCUCUUGCUCACAACAGGCCAACCUUUCAGGCCACAUGUCCUCUUAUGGAAGCGCAUGAGGGCCAUAUGAAACACAAUGAGACCCAGGAAUUAUAAACAGAUACCUCAUGGAAUUCAAAGACAAAUGCAAAAUCCUGCACCUGGGCUGAAACAAUCCCAAUGCACUGAUACAGGCUGGGGAGCAGCUCUGCAGAAAAUAAUCUGGGGGUCCUGGUGGACAAGUUGAAUAUGAGUCAGCAGUGUGCCCUUGUGGCAAAGGAGGCCAACAGUAUCUUGGGCCAUAUUACCAAGAGUGUAGCCAGCAGGUCGAGGGAAAUUAUUAUUCCCCUCUAAUUGGCAUUGGUGAGAUAAUGUCUGGAGUAUUGUGUCCAGUUUUGGGCUCCCUAGUACAAUAGAAAUGUUGGCAAACUGGAGUAAAUCCAGUGGAGGGCCACCAUGAUUGUUGGGGGCUGGAGCACAUGACAUAAGGAGAGGCUGAGAGAGAUGGGCAAAGGGAGAUCUGGUUACAGUCAUCCACUACCUAAAGGGGGGGUUAUAGGGAAGACAGAGCCGGACUCCUCUCAAAGGUGCACGGCGAAAGGACAAGACACAAAGGGCACAAGUUGCAGCAAGGACAUUCCAGUGGGACAUAAAAGUUCUUCCCUCUGUGACUGGUGCAGCCCUGGGACAGGUGCCCAGAAAGGUGGUGGGAUUCCCAUUCUUGGAGAUGGUCAAAACGUGACUGGACAAGGCCCUGAGCAACUUGAUCUAGCUUUGGGGUUAGCCUGUUGGCGCAAUAGGAAUUCCUAAGACAGUGGUUUUCUUCUUUAAAAGCAAGCUUUGCUUACUCGCUAAUUUGCUCUAACUGAUCAAGGCCUAAGUACUGAACAGGAUUGGCUGGAAAUAUAUAAAUCUAAUUGCUAUUCACUAUCCCCUCUCUCUCUGGGCCAAGGUCAUCUUGAGUCAAAAAAAGGUCAGGCUAUAGUUAAACUGAAAGCUCUUCAAAAAAUGUUUUAUAUGACUUUGGGGAUAUCCUCUCUUAAGAGGUCUCCAGAAAAGUUUCCAAAGGAAAUUUUGAUGCAAGUAGUAAACUUACUGCAAGGGGAAGGUGGGGGACACCUCUCUUUACAUGCCAAGGAAAAAUGCCAUAAUGCCAUCUUAGCUAUAACUAAUGGCAAGGGCCCCAGUCCAUCCUGCGAGAUAUUCUGCUAUGAAGUCAGCAAUCAGGACAUCCCCUUAAUUUUAAAGGGAAGGAAAACACACUAUCAUAAUCAGAUGGGAAGAGAGAAUAAAAGUACAGUGUGGAGGAAUAACGUACAGUAUUCAGCAAGCAGAUUAUACAGAAAAACUGAACACAAUUUAUCUUAAUCAUAAGUAUGGCCACUACAAUAAUUUCCUUUGCCUUUGUGGAAAAUAGGGGCAAUAUACCUCAAAACAAAAGGUCUCUGGGGAACAAUCAUCAUAAGACAAACAUCUGAAAAAGGCUGAUACCUGACAACACUCCAAGGGGACUUAAAAGAAUAGGACAGCAUCACAAAGCCAUGGGUCUUGGGGCCCACCAUCUGUACCCUAUGCAACCCUUUUAUCACCAGCUUCAGCUUCCAUGUCAAUGAAUUUACUGAAGUCACCAUCAACAGAAGGAAAUAGUUAAAACUGCAGUCAUCUUCAGAGCCAGUGGCCAGAUGCCAGCAUAUGUCCAUACACUCCAACAUCAGUCAGGAAGUGCUUUGUGACACCUAAAAAGUCACUUCCUGGAAACACAGGCCACACACUGUACCCAGAGUUGCAGAGCUGUGCAGACCAUGUCAGAGCAGCAUCUAAGGAAAGGAUCCAGUUUGACACAGAAUAAUUCAGGUUGUAAGGGAUCCCUAGAGGUCGCUAGUACAACCCCUGCUUAAAGCAUUGCCAGAACCAGAAGCCAGAACAGAGCCUUAAAAAAGCAGAGGAUCCAACCAGCUACAGAAUUAUUUACAGAGAACAGCUGCCCAUCUUUGCAUGGUGACACCAAACAACUCCAUAGCUAUGAUAAAGUUCUUAUACCAUAAAAGAUUUUUUUAAAGUUAGUCAAACAACUGACAAAUCUGCAAGGUCAUAAUGACAAUAAGUUAUGGGUGACAGGUAGGAAUUGUGUACUGCAUUCUUAUUAACUAACACCAUCAGUAAAUAUUGUGUAUGUUUAUACUGGGCUACCAGACACACUGUGGCACCUAGUGCUGUUUCACAUGCCAUAAAUGCAUGAUUAAAAUAAUCUAAAAGUGA